UACGAAGGGGGCUAGCGUUGCUCGGAAUCACUGGGCGUAAAGGGUGCGUAGGCGGGUCUUUAAGUCAGGGGUGAAAUCCUGGAGCUCAACUCCAGAACUGCCUUUGAUACUGAAGAUCUUGAGUCCGGGAGAGGUGAGUGGAACUGCGAGUGUAGAGGUGAAAUUCGUAGAUAUUCGCAAGAACACCAGUGGCGAAGGCGACUACCUGGCCUGUUCUGACGCUGAGGCGCGAAAGCUGGGGAGCAAACGGGG
rnacentral:rRNA from 1 species